AGAGUUUGAUCCUGGCUCAGGGUAAACGCUGGCGGCGUGCCUAAAACAUGCAAGUCGAACGGAUUGUCGCAAGACAGUCAGUGGCAGACGGCUGAGUAACGCGUGGGUGACGUACCUAUUGGUGGGGAGUAACUGCCCGAAAGGGUGGCUAAUUCCGCAUCCGUCCAUUGCUUCGUUUGUGAUGGAGAAAGCUUCGCAAGAGGCGCCGAUGGAGCGGCCCGCGUUCGAUUAGCUGGUUGGUGGGGUAACGGCCUACCAAGGCGACGAUCGAUAGCUGGUCUCAGAGGAUGAUCAGCCAGACUGGGACUGAGACACGGCCCAGACUCCUACGGGAGGCAGCAGUUAGGAAUUUUGGGCAAUGGGCGCAAGCCUGACCCAGCAACGCCGCGUGGGUGACGAAGGCCUUCGGGUUGUAAAGCCCUUUUCUGAGGGAAGAUAGUGACGGUACCUCAGGAAGAAGCACCGGCUAACUACGUGCCAGCAGCCGCGGUA
rnacentral:rRNA from 1 species